UCAUUCCCUAUAAAUAUUCAUACAUAACCCUUUGAUAUUUGCAUUAUCCAAACACUACCAUUCAACAAAUACAUAGAUAUCCAAAAACCCAUCCAUCAACUUCAUGGCUGAUUUUUGUCCUCCUGGAAAGAAUAGGUGGCCAGAACUUGUUGGGAUUGAAUCAACAAUUGCAAAGCAUAUCAUCAGGAAAGACAAUUACAAUGUGAAACGUGUCGAGACUAUCUUAACUGGAAGUGCAGUGACUGAAGAUCUUAGGUGCGAUCGGAUUAGGAUGUUUAUUAAUAUAAAGGGAAUAAUCGUUCAAACUCCAACCAUUGGUUAGAAAAAAACUACAUAAAAAUGUUGAUGUAUUGAUAUGUAUUGAUUUUCUUUUAAGUGUUAUUGUAAGCCAAUAAGGGUAGAAGUAUUCAUAUCUAUUGAAUUCUACCAUUUCAAUGAUCAAUUUCCUUUUCUUUUGUGUUUCUCCAUGGUAUUUGAGAAUUCUCUUUAAUGGCCCUUCGAGUUCGUCUUUA